UACAGAGGUGGCAAGCGUUGUUCGGAAUUACUGGGCGUAAAGGGCGCGUAGGCGGCCUUCUAAGUCAGACGUGAAAUCCCCAGGCUUAACCGGGGAACUGCGUCUGAUACUGGAUGGCUUGAGAUUGGGAGAGGGAUGCGGAAUUCCAGGUGUAGCGGUGAAAUGCGUAGAUAUCUGGAGGAACACCGGUGGCGAAGGCGGCAUCCUGGACCAACACUGACGCUGAGGAGCGAAAGCCAGGGGAGCAAACGGG
rnacentral:rRNA from 1 species